GCGCGUAGGCGGCUCGUUAAGUGUGAGGUGAAAUCUCCAGGGCUCAACCCGGAAACUGCUUUACAUACUGGCGAGCUUGAGGAAUGCAGAGGUGAAUGGAAUUCCUGGUGUAGCGGUGAAAUGCGUAGAUAUCAGGAGGAACACCCAUGGCGAAGGCAGUUCACUGGGCAUUAUCUGACGCUGAGGCGCGAAAGCGUGGGUAGCAAACAGGAUUAGAUACCCUGGUAGUCCACGCCCUAAACGAUGGAUACUAGGCGUAAGAGGUAUCGACCCCUCUUGUGCCGCAGCUAACGCACUAAGUAUCCCGCCUGGGGAGUACGGCCGCAAGGUUGAAACUCAAAUGAAUUGACGGGGACCCGCACAAGCGGUGGAGCAUGUGGAUUAAUUCGAUACUAAGCGAAGAACCUUACCCAGAUUUGACAUCGAUUGCAACAUCUAGAAAUAGGUGCCUCUUCCCAAAAGGAAGACAUGAAGACACUUGUUGCAUGGCUGUCGUCAGCUCGUGCCGUGAGGUGUACGGUUAAGUCCGCCAACGAGCGCAACCCUCGUCCUAUGUU
rnacentral:rRNA from 1 species